CAUGCUAAUCCGGAGAGAAGACCAUGAAGAAGUAGUAAGUGGAAAGGGAAGGGGAGAACAUGUGACUGUCAAUUCUCUAGGACUUCAACCCCCUCAGCUGAAUUUAAAAGAGGCCUCGGCCAUGGAAACUAAGCCCUCACACAUCCCCUACACUCUCAUGGAGUGAUGAGAGAGCCCUCGUUCUUGCUGUGACCCUGCCAUGACCAGGCAUCCUCCAGUCUACUUGCAGUGGUCAAGAUGGAGCGCACACACUUGGGCGCUGACAUUUUGUGAAGACUUUACAGGAACAUUCCCUUUAAUUCUCAGAAGCUGGCCACAAGGUAGGUAUUAUUAUCUCCAUUUGCAGAUGAGUAAGCUGAGGCUGAGAGAUGUUAAUUGCUCAAGGACUGAGAAUCUAACUCAAGCCUUUUCACUUAAGAGUCUGUGUUCUUCACCGGUACCCUCUACUGCUUGGCAGAGAUUAGAAAUGGUUUAUCGA